rnacentral:rRNA from 1 species
UACGUAGGGUGCGAGCGUUAAUCGGAAUUACUGGGCGUAAAGCGUGCGCAGGCGGUUUUGUAAGCCAGAUGUGAAAGCCCCGGGCUCAACCUGGGAACUGCAUUCGAAACUGGCGGGCUUGAGUAUGGCAGAGGGGGGUGGAAUUCCGCGUGUAGCAGUGAAAUGCGUAGAGAUGCGGAGGAACACCGAUGGCGAAGGCAGCCCCCUGGGCCAAUACUGACGCUCAGGCACGAAAGCGUGGGGAGCAAACAGG